AGCCCGCAGUUAACAAUACUACUGGACUCCAAGAAAGUAAAGCAAAGCUUUUACACAGGAUAACCUGAAGGGUGACACUCUUGAGAAUCCCUGGGAGUUGAAUUCUUGCUUUGACACAGUGGCAAAGGGAGAGCACACAUGAUUUGGACUCAAAAAGAGCUAUGACCAAAUCAGCUUUGCUGCAUCUCUUGUAUUCUCCCUUCUGGCCACGACAAUGAAGAACCAUCAGGAUAAGAAAUCUUAUUACUCAGGGCUCCAUGCCACAGUGUGUCUCACCUCUAAACUUUGGCACUUCUCAGUAGUGAGAUGCACCCCAGUGAGUGGCACCCAUCAGACAGAGGUGGCAAGUCCUCCCUACCUGCUGGACUUGGAACUUGCACUCACAGAGACCUACUGACACAAGGCGGAAUGCUCUGUGCUUCCAAGUGCUCCUUGGUACAGAACAAUACAAAUGGCAAAUCAAGCUCAAGUAACUAGGAUGAUGCUUCCUGGAGGCAGUUCCUUCUACAUAAAACUGUAUCCACUGAGGGCAUGCAGUUAUAAAAAUGGAAAGCUGUCUGGAUGCUGCAACUUGGAAUGGUUCAUGCUUCUACAUCCUUUCCUUUUUUGUGCUAUUUAAUGUGAAAAGUGACAGUCAUCUGCAGCUGCCUCAUCCCUGUUCAUCAGCUCAGCAUCUGACUUCCAACCCAUUUUAAAUUGCUCGUUCCCCUAUAACCCUAAUACCUCCCUUUGUAACUGCCUUCACGAAUGAAGGUGCAGUGAUUAAAUCGCAGUGAUUACAUGCCUGCACUGACUUCUUUGUUAUGCAUUGUAGUAUAUGACUGGGUUUGUUAUCCAAAGCCUCCCAGGAUACUAGUUGUAUGAAAUAAAAAACAAAAUAAAGUUCAGGUUUUAAUGGUAGAAUUCUAGGUAUCAAAAUGUAGCAGAGAAUGGAAAGAAAUGGAACCAAGUAGCAAACUUCUAAGAUAGAACACCUUCUAAUUACAAUAACGCACUCCAGGGCUCAAAUUAUCAAAUGAUAAUUUACACCUAGGUGAUUUGACAGCACUCGGCCUUUGGCCUUCUGCCUAACAACACAAUAGGCGUAAAUCAUUACCAAGUGAUUCACACCCUGUCAUGUCUUAUUGCUUAAUUAAUUUGUCUAGAAGGCUUUCCAUGAGAACAUAUAGCAAAUGCCUUUGUUGUACAUCUUUUACUAAGGGUGUCAUUACCUGCUCUCUCUGUCAUUCUCAGCUCUUGUUUCAGCCACCUGUGUUUUAAAAAUGUCCAGCAAAUUUUUGCAUUUACCAUGCAGUCAUUUAAAAUUAUGCUGGAGUUUUAUGCUCUCUGCUUUUAGGUAAGUUCUUCUGUUGUUCUCUGGCUGCUGUAUUUGUGGACCCAUGGGUGGAGGUUAAAUUCAUGCUGAGCUGAAGACUGCAGAGAGCCUAGAACAGUAUCUUAUGGAUCACUGGAAAAUUGCACUCAAGCAGUUAAGAUGUUAUUUUUGUUAACUAGUAAGUGUACAUUUUCUCAACCAGGAAUAUUAAUAUCAUAUAUAAUCUUAAAACAAGUAAAGCUAUUUUGUUGAGGGAGAUAUUAAAUAUUUUGAAUAUAAAUAACAUAUAGUGGGCUUUUGCAAUGAUCCAGUCCUAUACCCCAUCAGUGUUCAGAAGAAUAAUAAAUAUGAUGAUACAAAAAAAUCCACAUUCGUGGAUAAUAUAACUACUGAUAGACAGGAUGAUCCAGCUGCAGCCUUGAGUACUUAAAACCAGAAUGAUUCUAGAAUGGAAAGGUUACUCUGGUGCUGCUUUUAUACAUUUUCUGACCCCUUUAGUAGGGAGGAUGCUAUGUUAGAUGGAUCAGACAUUCAGAAAGGCUUAUCUUACGUUCUUACGAACAUAGAUAACCAGAAUUUCCCAAGGACUGUUUGCUACUAGAAAGGCAAAGAAAUUACAAGAAAUAAGUCUUUACAAUGGCAAUAUUUUUUCUAGCUGUUUACUCAAGACAUUCAAGUGCCCAUGAAAGUGUCCUUGAACUAUCUCAGGUUGUGGCACAGUCAUUGUUGGCCACACUGAGGUUUUUCAUGUCAGUGCAGGUCAAUGCAGAAUCCAAGUUCUGUCCAAGUAGUAUUUUUUUUCUUGGCUACAUCUGCAAUUCUUGUUAGAAAUUUUAUUUUGGGCACCCAUUACUCUAAGAAAACUCCAUUGCACACAAAGGAAUGGACACAACCUGAGGAAAACUGAAGUCAGCUAAAUAGCUGAAGAGCCAUAACAACCUAUGAAAUUUUCACUUUUAUCUUCAGAUGUGACACCCUCCUAGCCACACAGAGCAGCAGUGAAACACCUAAGGAACUAAAUUAAGACAAUUCUUGUUUAUCAUGGAGAUAAUUUAAGAGCUUUGAGAUGGUUAAAACUGGCAGGGUUUGAUUCAGCGAGUGAGGACUGAAAGCCUUUUAAUCUCAAAGCUACCUCAGAGCUAGUCCUUGAUUAUUAAUGCUAUUAAUAUAUAUUAAGUAACAAAGAAGUACUAGGAAUGCAAAAAACAGACACAAGGCUACAUUUAACUUCCAAAACUCUUAUUUCUUCUUAAUGAAUUUUUCUCUUUGAAAAUGAAAGUUCUCUGCCUGCAACUUAUCACAAAAUAAACACCUGCAAACUACAGAAAUUUACUUUACUCCUUUGACAACUAAAGAAGGAGCAUCUGGAAAAUGCAACCCAGAAUCUGGGCAAUUGGAAAUUUGAUUGCAAGAGAAUAUAAAUUGUUUCCUUACAUACAGUUUCCAAAUUAAGACUAUUUUCUGAGAAUGCCCCUUAUCCAAAGUACUGUAAUACUUAUAAAUACAACUAUUUCUUAACUGAAACGUCAAAUGAACAAGUUCCAAGAAACACAUUUACAUAUUUUCUUGCCUAUGUUUAUUUGCCCUGUCAAUAAUAGUUUUCACCUUUCCACUUAUCUGAGAUUGAGUUUCCUGAUAAGACUAUGUUUUUAUAUGUAUUUGUGUAAUGGCAAAAUAAAGAUGGUAACAUCAGAAUUUGGCUC